rnacentral:tRNA from 1 species
CAGGAAAUGUGCCCGAAAUUAAGGACUACUUUGAUAGAGUAUAUGACAGGGGUUAAAAUCCCCUCUUUUCCU